CAUCCCAAGAGCAACAGCUGGACGGCCCCGGGCACCGUCCCGCGCCGGGCACCGGCGGGUUCGGGAGCUCCUCCCCUCCUCUGCGGCUCCACACAGAGCUUCAGGGUCCGGCGCCCGGAGAGGAGAAGUGGGGGAAAGAAGUAUGAGGGACGGCAGCGGCGCGAAGAGACGGGGCUGUCGACCAAAGAAGUGCACGCUGGGUAAAGUCACAAACCGGAUGGACGGAUUGGGGAGGUGCAGAGCAACCAUAGAGAGAAGCGGGUGGCCUCUUGGGUAGAGCGGCGCCAGAAGUCUUCUGAGGUUGAUGGAAGGAAAAAUGGGAAGGGAGAAUACUGAAUGCUGAACUAGAGGCCCAGAAGAAAAACCUCUGUGCCCUGAAGAAGUUGAGAGCAGACUGGGAAGCUCAGAGGAGCAAUUUAUCCUACCCAUCCAAGUUCUCUCCAUCAUCCCUUUCCCCAUAGUUUCAAAUUAUUUGAUGUUCUCAUAUUUAUUUAAAUAAACCUGGUCAAA